AUUUAUAAGGAAUUCCCUUGGGGAAACCAGCUUUAAAAAGGAGGAUAGAUUGUUGUGAGGAAAACUGGAUGUGAGUGGAUGGGGCCUCUUUAAAGGGGACAGUUUUCCAGUUUUGAAGAGACCUGUUGGGAUAAACACAUUCAAGAUAAUAGUGUUGGGACAGGACAAAAGCCACUUCAUUGUAAAAAUGCCUUCAACCUGAAACAUUCUGAUGGACCUGUGCAUGAACAAUAGACACACACUGCCUAAUGUGGGAUGGAAGAGUAGCUGGUGGACUGCAGCAUUCUCUGGAUUCGUGGAUGUUAUUUCCUCAGCAAAUGGGAAGUUGCCCUCUAUAAAAAUGCUCAGUUCUAAAGUUCUUUAGUUGCAGGAUGAUAACUCUGAGUUGCAGCAUGUGGAUCUAGCUCUUUGGCCAGCAAUCAAACCGGGGCCCCGUGUAUUGGGGACAUGGAGUUUUUGCCACUGAACUACCAGGCAAGUCCCAGGGUGUGUGUGUGUGUGUGUGUGUUCCAAUAACCUAGUGUUUUAUAACCUACUGUUAUAGCACAUGGAACUCUGAAAAGUGAAAAUGUUAGUCACUAAGUUGUGUUCAACUCUUUGUGACCCCAUGGACUGUAGCCCGCCAGGCUCCUCUGUCUGUGG